rnacentral:pre_miRNA from 1 species
GAAAUACUCCCUCCGUCCCAAAAUUCUUGUCUUAGAUUUGUCUAAAUACGGAGGUAUCAAGUCACGUUUUGGUAUUAGAUACAUCUGUAUCUAGAGAAUUUUGGGAUGGAGGGAGUAUAAA